rnacentral:rRNA from 1 species
AUGAACGCUGGCGGCGUGCCUAAUACAUGCAAGUCGAACGCUUUGUCUUUAAUUGAUAUGAAGAGCUUGCUCUGAUUUGAUUUUAUCUGACAAAGAGUGGCGAACGGGUGAGUAACACGUGGGUAACCUACCUCUUAGCAGGGGAUAACAUUUGGAAACAAGUGCUAAUACCGUAUAACACUAACAACCGCAUGGUUGUUAGUUGAAAGAUGGUUCUGCUAUCACUAAGAGAUGGACCCGCGGUGCAUUAGCUAGUUGGUAAGGUAAUGGCUUACCAAGGCGAUGAUGCGUAGCCGAGUUGAGAGACUGAUCGGCCACAAUGGGACUGAGACACGGCCCAUACUCCUACGGGAGGCAGCAGUAGGGAAUCUUCCACAAUGGGCGCAAGCCUGAUGGAGCAACGCCGCGUGUGUGAUGAAGGGUUUCGGCUCGUAAAACACUGUUAUAAGAGAAGAACGACAUUGAGAGUAACUGUUCAGUGUGUGACGGUAUCUUAUCAGAAAGGAACGGCUAAAUACGU